rnacentral:rRNA from 1 species
GUUCCUUGGAAAAGGACAGCUGAGAGGGUGACACUCCCGUCCGCCUGGUAGAAUGAGUCUUUGUCAACGAGUCGAGUUGUUUGGGAUUGCAGCUCUAAUUUGGUGGUAAAUUCCAUCUAAAGCUAAAUAUUGGUGGGAGACCGAUAGCGUACAAGUACCGUGAGGGAAAGAUGCAAAGAACUUUGAAAAGAGAGUUAAAGAGUACCUGAAAUUGCUGAAACGGAAGCGAAGGAAACCAGUGUUUGUUGGUUCAUAUUUCCCUGGCCACUUGUGGUUUGGGCGCUGUGAGCUUGCGUGGGUUUGGGUUGGUUGAUCCCUUUGGAAGAGCGCAGUCAGAGUUGAUGUCU